UACGUAGGGGGCAAGCGUUGUCCGGAUUUAUUGGGCGUAAAGAGCGUGUAGGCGGCCAGGUAGGUCAGCUGUGAAAACUCGAGGCUCAACCUCGAGACGCCGGUUGAAACCAUCUGGCUAGAGUCCGGAAGAGGAGAGUGGAAUUCCUGGUGUAGCAGUGAAAUGCGUAGAGAUGCGGAGGAACACCGAUGGCGAAGGCAGCCCCCUGGGCCAACACUGACGCUCAGGCACGAAAGCGUGGGGAGCAAACAGG
rnacentral:rRNA from 1 species